GUCUCUCUCUCAAAAUGUUUUGUAAACGGAGAUCUGAUGAAACAUGAUCCAUCAACACAGAUUGUUGAAGGUUUGUAUGUCUCUCCGAUGAAUGAUCUACUUAAUCCGAGGUUGAUUCUGUUCGUUUCGUAUAUGUUCGAAGAAGAUCUGAAAAAGUUAUCUCUCAAGACAAAACGAAGAACUGGAGUUAAAGGAUCCAGUAACAUCGAUCUCUUCAGAGUUAUGCCGUUCAAAUCAUCACCUGGAUUAAAGAAAAAUAAUGUUGUUUAUCUCUGCAAAAGUAAACGAAGAUCAGAAACAUGCUUAAUCAUCACCUGACACUGCUUGUUCUAAAGAUAAGUCUUUCAAAGCAAUUUGUUUUUAUUUGUUUUGGCUUAAGAUCAAUUGAUAAUGAACCCUUUCAAAGCGCUUGCCAGAAAUGUGAACUUCAGGAUUGGUUUGUUUUUGAUUGAUCUAAAAUAACUUCAUGUCUUUUCCUAAUAGUUUGAGUAUUGUUUGAUGAACCCUUCUUCUCUGAAUUGUUUCAGGAGUAACUGAAAAUGGUCACAAUCUCAUCGAAACAGAUUAUGAUCUUAUUACCAUGUAAUCAUUAGCUCUCCUUUUGCUGAUGUAUUUUAUAUCGUGAUUAUUGUAUAUGUAUAGUAGUUAUUUUUAUUUGUAUUGUUGAUUUUAUAUUUUA